UACGGAGGGUGCGAGCGUUUGUUCGGAAUCACUGGGCGUAAAGCGCGUGUAGGCGGCCCACUAAGUCUGAUGUGAAAGCCCGGGGCUCACCCCCGGAAGUGCAUUGGAAACUGGUGGACUAGAGUCCCGGAGAGGAGAGUGGAAUUCCUGGUGUAGCGGUGAAAUGCGUAGAUAUCAGGAGGAACACCGGUGGCGAAGGCGGCUCUCUGGACGGUGACUGACGAGACG
rnacentral:rRNA from 1 species